rnacentral:rRNA from 1 species
UACAGAGGGUGCGAGCGUUAUCCGGAUUCAUUGGGUUUAAAGGGUGCGUAGGCGGACUAUUAAGUCAGUGGUGAAAUCCUGCAGCUUAACUGCAGAACUGCCAUUGAUACUGUUGGACUUGAAUAUAGUUGAGGUAGGCGGAAUGUGCAGUGUAGCGGUGAAAUGCUUAGAUAUUGCACAGAACACCGAUUGCGAAGGCAGCUUACUGAGCCGACACUGACGCUGAGGCACGAAAGCGUGGGGAUCGAACAGG